UAUUGUAAAAGAGCUCUCUCCUUGUUGCCGAAGGAUGCCAGCCUCUCUGGGUUGCUUUUGAAUCAAGAUGCAGAACUCUCAGCUACUUCUCUAGCACCAUGUCUGCCUGGAUGCUGCCAUGCUCCCUACCACGAUGAUAAUGGACUAAACCUUUGAACCUGUAAGCCAGUCCCAGUGAAAUGUUUGCCUAAUUUAUAAGAGUUGACUUGAUCAUGAUGUCUCCUCACAGCAAUGGAAAUAUUAAACAGGAGACUUGCCUAAAAUCAGUGUAAAGUAGGGCAUGUGUUAAGCAGUCCUUAAAGAAAACAAACGGACAAACAAAUCAACAAACCGACAACCCCCCCCCCCCCCCCCCCCCCCCCCCCCCCACCCUCAGGCUCCAGAUUACUUCUGCCUGCCGUCAACAACUGAGCUUUGACCAUUUGAGGACAAAAUAUGAAUGGAAGGGUUUAAGUCGGGAAGGAGAAGAAUGAAGUAAAGAAAGAAAACUACAUCUUUCAAAAGUCUCCAUGAAACAAAAGUUUUUUUGUUUUUGUUUUUAAUCCAAACUAAGCAAAACCCGUUCCCUUGUUUAGAGCGCCAUCUCCUGGUCAUGAGGUCGAAUGGCCCUGAAGGGAAAGAACAGAGGACCUGGGCUGGAUAUUCAUCUGCGGUCACAAAGUUUUCCUCUCUAGCUGCUGUGACAGAUUACUGAUAGAAGAAUCUCAAGGGAGGACAGAUUUAGUUCUGGAUCCAAGGAGUAUAAUUUCAUGGCCGGGGAGGCAUAGCCGCUGGGAUGAUUCUGUUGCUAUGGGAGCUUGCUUCUCACAGCCAGCCAAUACACCCACAGCCUCCUCCACAGGACUCUUAGCUGGGGACCGAGAAUUCAAAUGCAAAAGUCGAUCUAUGGACGAUGCUUCACACUCAGAUAACGAGAGACCGUCAAUCAGUUUGUGCGCCCAUAGCCCCCUUCACCACCCAACUACCUUUCUAGAGAUUCCUUCCCUCAUGUCCUCGUGAUAAUUCUCCACGCUCCAAAGGCAGCGCCUCAAUUUAGAAUUCCAGCUCAGAAUUCCUUGGAACUGAACGUUUCUCCUGGAAUUUGUUAACUCUAGCUUUUGUUUGCUCACGAGUGCCAGCCUUUGUGUGUGUGUGUUGCUUAGGAUACCCGAGAGCCUGAUGCAUAUCGGGUGCCUCUGCCUUUCUCCCACUUCCUGUCAUGUCUCCGUCUCUUCCUCCUUCCUUCUUGUUUUGGGGGUUUUAUGGUUGAUCCUAGGGUUGUGCCCAUGUCUGGGAAGUGCCAGUGAGCACUCUUUGUCCUGGAUUUUUGGGAAGGAGUGGUAUAUCGGCUCCUCCAGGACAAGAAUCGUGUCUCUGCUCUGUUCAUCCCUCACGUGAGAGGGAGAGCUCAGAGUGCCCAGUGGAACAGACGAUAGAAUAGACAUACUUAAAGAAAUGAAAAGAAUGAAUUGAAUGAGUAACUGUUAGUUGACUACUUAGUAAAUAGACUUUUAUGACUGGAAGAAUUCCAAAGACUAGUAUAUUUGGAUAGCUCAGUAGGCUUGUGAAUUCACCAAUAAGUUCAUAGGAAGAGCCUCAGGAUAUUCCAUCGUCUCUUCUCUACCUAGUGUAAUUCUGUGCCUUGUGAUAUGAUGGGAAGAUACCUGUAAGGCAUCCGGGACUCUCACAUCCUAGGCAAGAAUGUGUAGUUAGGAUGAUGAAACUAUCAAGAGAGCAUUAAAGCUAAGUGUUCCAAAGACUGGAACAUUUGAACACUUCUUGUUACAUUGUUGAGGGGCCAUAAAGUAUGGAAGACACUUGGUUAUGCAGAGAACAAAAAAAUGCGAUGGGUGGUGUCUAGGAGAGGGCAGUGGUCAGAGCGCGUUUGUUAGUAUGAAAGAGCAGCCUAGGAUUAAGGCUUAGCUGUCGGCCCGAGUUGGUGUCUUACCUAGGGGACUGAAGCAGAGAAGUCACAAGUGUUGAGAGUAGCCUGGGCUGCAGAGCCAGAUUUUGUCUUUAUAAAGAAUGCUGCAUUUGCUACCCAUGGGGGAUACACAGUGGAUUAUCUUCGCUGCUGGAGAGGGCUCGCUCUCUUAGGAGCACUGGGAGGCAGUGAGCUUGAUCUGAGAGGCUGAGGCUGUGCAGUCCUUCCUCUCCUCCUGCCCCUCACCCACGCAGGCGCCCACUGUCCUUGUGCCAGCUCUGGCUCUCGGGUGUGCUCACUCAGGCCUAGAUGGUGAUGGUUUUGAAUUCGGAAAGACAGGAAUUGGACAAUGCACGCGUGUGUUUCAGUUGGCUGGCACAGAAGAGUUCCUAAAGUUUCUGAGUGUGUUCAACAACAAGGACUAGGCUCUUAGCAUGCCUGGACUGAAAACAUACAAGAUGAUGAAGUAUACUUUCAAUUAAUAAAUAUUUGUAAGUAUCAG
ensembl:lincRNA